GCAGACACAUCCCAGCCAAUCUGCAGCAGACCCUCCCUCCCAGGCCCUCCCACCUCCUGGACAGCAUCCAUUUUGAAGCUGCCUUCAAAAUGCCUUCAAAAUUGAUGCUGUCCAGGAGGUGGGAGGGUCUAGGAGGGAGGGUCUGCUGCAGAUUGGCCGGGAUGCGUCUG